UACGGGGGGGGCAAGCGUUGUUCGGAAUUACUGGGCGUAAAGGGCUCGUAGGUGGUCAACUAAGUCGGACGUGAAAUCCCUCGGCUUAACCGGGGGAACUGCGUCCGAUACUGGAUGACUUGAGUUCGGGAGAGGGAUGCGGAAUUCCAGGUGUAGCGGUGAAAUGCGUAGAUAUCUGGAGGAACACCGGUGGCGAAGGCGGCAUCCUGGACCGACACUGACGCUGAGGAGCGAAAGCCAGGGGAGCAAACGGGG
rnacentral:rRNA from 1 species